AGCGAACGCUGGCGGCAGGCCUAACACAUGCAAGUCGAACGGAUCCUUCGGGAUUAGUGGCGGACGGGUGAGUAACACGUGGGAACGUGCCCUUUGGUUCGGAACAACUCAGGGAAACUUGAGCUAAUACCGGAUGUGCCCUUCGGGGGAAAGAUUUAUCGCCAUUGGAGCGGCCCGCGUCUGAUUAGCUAGUUGGUGAGGUAACGGCCCACCAAGGCGACGAUCAGUAGCUGGUCUGAGAGGAUGAUCAGCCACACUGGGACUGAGACACGGCCCAGACUCCUACGGGAGGCAGCAGUGGGGAAUCUUGCGCAGUGGGCGAAAGCCUGACGCAGCCAUGCCGCGUGAAUGAUGAAGGUCUUAGGAUUGUAAAAUUCUUUCAGCGGGGACGAUAAUGACGGUACCCGCAGAAGAAGCGCCGGCUAACUUCGUG
rnacentral:rRNA from 1 species